UCAGGAUGGUAGUUUUUUGGGGAAAGCUAGGUUGAAGAAAUUGGUUUAGCAUUUUGUUCUGAAGAAGCCAAGCUUCAAUGAAGAUGGAACAGUUCAGGGAAUAAGCCCAAAACAAGGGAACAAGAUGCAACAUUUGGACUGGUAUUCACAGAAGUAACAGUGACCACAUAGCUAAAAUAGAG